UACGUAGGGUGCGAGCGUUGUCCGGAAUUAUUGGGCGUAAAGGGCUCGUAGGCGGUUUGUCACGUCGGGAGUGAAAACUCGGGGCUUAACCCCGAGCCUGCUUCCGAUACGGGCAGACUAGAGGUAUGCAGGGGAGAGCGGAAUUCCUGGUGUAGCGGUGAAAUGCGCAGAUAUCAGGAGGAACACCGGUGGCGAAGGCGGCUCUCUGGGCAUUACCUGACGCUGAGGAGCGAAAGCGUGGGUAGCGAACAGG
rnacentral:rRNA from 1 species